AUGCUUGAUGAUCACAAUGAGUUAGUGAAAUCAUUCCGUAUGGCAAGGGAUAGAUACCAAGAGUCGGAUCUCGAAAAUGUUAGGUUGCGAUUAAUUGGUACAAGAUCCAGUGAUGGAAGACAAUACAACCUACCAACUGCAUCUAAAAUAGCUGCACUCAUUGUUGGGGAACAGACAGGAGAAAAUGUUGAACGCGGUAUAAUAGUAGAAAACAAAGACAAACAACUCCAGCGAAUUUCGGAACUACAUCCAAGCUUUAUGUCUAUGCAAUACCCAUUAUUGUUCCCGUACGGAGAAGAUGGAUUCAGACCAGAAAUAGAAUUAGAGAAAAAAAGGUGUCGAAGGAAAGAGAAAUUAUGUUACCAUGAUGGAGUAUUAUGCAUAUCGCAUCCAGCAGCGACUGAACCAGUCAGUAGUCUUGCAAAUGAGUGGCAAGCUAUUCCUUCAGUUCAUCAUAGACGCAGCAACAUGCAUUGA
rnacentral:rRNA from 1 species